AUGCAAGUCGAGCGGACCGACGGGAGCUUGCUCCCUUAGGUCAGCGGCGGACGGGUGAGUAACACGUGGGUAACCUGCCUGUAAGACUGGGAUAACUCCGGGAAACCGGGGCUAAUACCGGAUGCUUGAUUGAACCGCAUGGUUCAAUCAUAAAAGGUGGCUUUUAGCUACCACUURCAGAUGGACCCGCGGCGCAUUAGCUAGUUGGUGAGGUAACGGCUCACCAAGGCGACGAUGCGUAGCCGACCUGAGAGGGUGAUCGGCCACACUGGGACUGAGACACGGCCCAGACUCCUACGGGAGGCAGCAGUAGGGAAUCUUCCGCAAUGGACGAAAGUCUGACGGAGCAACGCCGCGUGAGUGAUGAAGGUUUUCGGAUCGUAAAACUCUGUUGUUAGGGAAGAACAAGUACCGUUCGAAUAGGGCGGYACCUUGACGGUACCUAACCAGAAAGCCACGGCUAACUACGUGCCAGCAGCCGCGGUAAUACGUAGGUGGCAAGCGUUGUCCGGAAUUAUUGGGCGUAAAGCGCGCGCAGGCGGUUUCUUAAGUCUGAUGUGAAAGCCCCCGGCUCAACCGGGGAGGGUCAUUGGAAACUGGGGAACUUGAGUGCAGAAGAGGAGAGUGGAAUUCCACGUGUAGCGGUGAAAUGCGUAGAGAUGUGGAGGAACACCAGUGGCGAAGGCGACUCUCUGGUCUGUAACUGACGCUGAGGCGCGAAAGCGUGGGGAGCGAACAGGAUUAGAUACCCUGGUAGUCCACGCCGUAAACGAUGAGUGCUAAGUGUUAGAGGGUUUCCGCCCUUUAGUGCUGCAGCAAACGCAUUAAGCACUCCGCCUGGGGAGUACGGUCGCAAGACUGAAACUCAAAGGAAUUGACGGGGGCCCGCACAAGCGGUGGAGCAUGUGGUUUAAUUCGAAGCAACGCGAAGAACCUUACCAGGUCUUGACAUCCUCUGACAACCCUAGAGAUAGGGCUUCCCCUUCGGGGGCAGAGUGACAGGUGGUGCAUGGUUGUCGUCAGCUCGUGUCGUGAGAUGUUGGGUUAAGUCCCGCAACGAGCGCAACCCUUGAUCUUAGUUGCCAGCAUUCAGUUGGGCACUCUAAGGUGACUGCCGGUGACAAACCGGAGGAAGGUGGGGAUGACGUCAAAUCAUCAUGCCCCUUAUGACCUGGGCUACACACGUGCUACAAUGGGCAGAACAAAGGGCAGCGAAGCCGCGAGGCUAAGCCAAUCCCACAAAU
rnacentral:rRNA from 1 species